rnacentral:rRNA from 1 species
GACGUAGGGCGCGAGCGUUGUCCGGAUUUAUUGGGCGUAAAGAGCUCGUAGGCGGCUUGUCGCGUCGUCCGUGAAAACCUGCAGCUCAACUGCAGGCUUGCGGUCGAUACGGGCAGACUGGAGUACUGCAGGGGAGACUGGAAUUCCUGGUGUAGCGGUGGAAUGCGCAGAUAUCAGGAGGAACACCGGUGGCGAAGGCGGGUCUCUGGGCAGUAACUGACGCUGAGGAGCGAAAGCGUGGGGAGCGAACAGG